CUGACGCAAGUUAUAGGACAAUUAACAACCGGUUUAUAGAUAAAAAAUUUGUUGAAUUUGACGUUGAGGGCAGGUGUUAGGUAUUUAAAGUUCGCUUGCUGCUCCUAUUGAUCAAAAGACGACAGAAGUUAUCAAAACCUUGACGAACAUCAACGAUCGUUUUAAAAAUCGACAAAAUAAAUUAAAAUGUUCAAAAUUAUUAUGAUGUUAUCAAUAUUCAUGUUAAUGAUUGGGGUCGUGGUAAAUGCUGCUAAAUGUUGGGGUGAUCCGUGUAGUGGAAAAAACCCUUGUUGUGAAGGAUACUAUUGCUAUAUAUCUGACGAUUGGACGCGAUAUUGUCGCCGAAAAUGAUAAAUGACUUGAAGAAAUUAAUAAUUUUUUUCUUGUAGUAAAUUAAUGUAUGACGCAGAAAUAAAAACCUUGUAUGGCAAAAUACCCAGACUACAUGAACACUGUUU